rnacentral:lncRNA from 1 species
GGAAGCUGACAGGUCAAAGGUCAGAGGGCAAGGCUGGGCUGAAGCCUACAGUCUCGUCAGCAUUGACAGUACUCCUCAGCAGCCCAUGCUGCUGCCAUCACCAUAACUCUGAAUAAUGGCAUAGUACCUAGCAUGUGUUAGUAUUUGCCGCUCUUCAUGAUAUAUUCCUGUGUGUGUGUGUGUGUGUGUGUGUGUGUGUGUGUGUGUGUGUGUGUGUGUGUGUGUGUUUGAGAGAGAGAGAGAGAGAGAACAGUGUGUGUGUAUAGGACAAUAUCAGGGAUCUUCAGCUAUUUUUAAAAAUUUUUAUGUACAUUCAUGCUUUGCCAACAUGUAUGUCUAUGUGAGGAAGUCAGAUCCCCUGGAACUGGAGUUACAGACAAUUGCGAGCUACCAUGUGGUUGCUGGGAAUUGAACUCAGGACCUCUGGAAGAGCAGCCACUGCUCUUAAUCAUGAGCCAUCUCUCCAGCCUGUCUCCCUUGCCUUUUGAGACAAUGUCUCCUUGUACUUCAGCUCACCAAUUCAGCUAGACUGGCUGGCAAGGCGGACUAUGGUGCUUUGGAGGAAACGGGCUUCCUUACGCAGAAAGCUUUGGGGAAACCCCCUCAGCCACAGUGGAGAUGC